CCUACGAGAGGCAGCAGUGAGGAAUAUUGGUCAAUGGACGAGAGUCUGAACCAGCCAAGUAGCGUGAAGGAUGACUGCCCUCUGGGUUGUAAACUUCUUUUAUAAAGGAAUAAAACGCGGCACGUGUGCCUUUUUGCAUGUACUUUAUGAAUAAGGAUCGGCUAACUCCGUGCCAGCAGCCGCGGUAAUACGGAGGAUCCGAGCGUUAUCCGGAUUUAUUGGGUUUAAAGGGUGCGUAGAUGGGUUGUUAAGUUAGUUGUGAAAGUUUGCGGCUGAACCGUAAAAUUGCAAUUGAUACUGGCAGUCUUGAGUACAUUUGAGGUAGGCGGAAUUCGUGGUGUAGCAGUGAAAUGCUUAGAUAUCACGAAGAACCCCGAUUGCGAAGGGAGCUUACUAAACUGUGACUGACAUUGAUGCUCGAAAGUGUGGGUAUCAAACGGGAUUAGAUACCCGAGUAGUC
rnacentral:rRNA from 1 species